CCUACGGGAGGCAGCAGUGAGGAAUAUUGGUCAAUGGCCGGAAGGCUGAACCAGCCAUGCCGCGUGAAGGUCAGUGCCCUAUGGGCGUUAAACUUCUUUUGUGCGGGAGCAAUAAUGGUCACGUGUGGCCAGACGAGAGUACCGUACGAAUAAGCAUCGGCUAACUCCGUGCCAGCAGCCGCGGUAAUACGGGGGAUGCAAGCGUUAUCCGGAGUUAUUGGGUUUCAAGGGUGCGUAGGCUGUGAGGUAAGUCAGCGGUGAAAUGCCCCGGCUCAACGGGGUGAAGUGCCAUUGAUACUGGCUUGCUGGAAUGCGGAUGCAGUGGGAGGAAUGUGUGGUGUAGCGGUGAAAUGCAUAGAUAUCACACAGAACACCGAUUGCGAAGGCAGCUCACGAAUCCGCGAUUGACGCUGAUGCACGAAAGCGUGGGUAUCAAACAGGAUUAGAUACCCGUGUAGUC
rnacentral:rRNA from 1 species